UGAGUGUAUUCUUCCUGGAGACCAGAAGAGGGCAUCAGAUCCCCCGGACCUAGAGUUACAGGCAGCUAUGGACCUCGUGACCCUCCCACCCUGUAACAAGGGCUCUCAACCUCUGAGCAUCUUUCGGGCCCCACAGCAAGACUUGUUAACAUAUUUAUAGCCAUGCCAUACAGUACAUUUUAAAAUUGGCUUCCUGAGAAAAUAAGUUCAACUGUUCGCAUAUUAUACUUCGGAAUUGACUAUGGAUGGCAGAGGUUAGCUUGGGAGCUGCUAAGCCUGCUUCCAGCAACAUCUGCCCAAUUAUUGUAUUGCUAACCUCCAUCAUCUUGCAAUUGUCCGCUUGCUUUUCUGGGCAAAGACCAGAAACUAACGCCAAACUGUGAGUGCAAGUGUGCACCUUUUAACAAGCAUACAGAUAUAAAAUGCAUUUUCUCCAGAAAAUUCAUUCUGUGGAACCCUGAUUGUAUGAAGACAUUAUUCGAUAAGGAUUUGCAACUUCAAAGUAAUAUGGAGGAACAACAAUGUUUUUUCUGAUGAAAUUAGUUUAAGCUAUUCUAGUACAUUAAAGACUUGAAAGGAGUCAAGCCAAAACUUGAAAAUCUUGUUGUAGUUGAAUAAUGUUUAAUUUUGUAAUAGUAUUUUAAAUUUAAUUCUUUUUACAGCUUCAUACAUGAGUACUGAAUUCAUACGAUUUCCACCCUUCCAAAUAUUCUGUGUCCCCAAACACACACACACACACACACACACACACACACAGCCUCCUGAGUCUAUUUAUGGUGCUGCUCACAUGUGUGUAUGUACUAAGGGCUGAGCGCUUGGGAGUGAUAAUCAAUAAGGGGGCUCUGUUGAAGAUUUGUUUGAACAUUCAAAAUGGAAUUACAUCAUUGGUAUCCAGUUAAAUUACUAUCUGAGCUUUCUGAACCUAUGGAAAUCCAUUGUUCUGACAACAGAAAACUAAAGGGUCAGAAAGAUGUCAUGGACUAACAGUUUAAAAACAAAGAUUUAUUAGGGACAGGAAUGACAGUAUCAGGUAAAGAACUCACUUUACCUUAUAUAAUUAAACCAAAUUCAGGCAACAAGUUACCAUUUAGCUGUCCCUAGCAUCCAUGAAGACCGAUUUACCUUUCGACAAAACUGUCCUUUUAACUGAGCUCAGACGGAAAGGGCCUGGAACACCUCUUCUCCACAUGGGAUCCACCACUGCCCCUCUGUGACACUGAAACUGGCUGAGCUCUGGACCACGCCCUCUGCUAAGCUCCGAAAAGAUGUAACUCACUGCCUACUGUUAUCAGUUGGAUAUCAGCCAUCUGACAAACACCCCCAAAGAUGUAUCUCUCUCCACACGCCUAAAGAGCCUUUUAUUUAUUCAUAAUAUGUUUAAUAAAUCAGCUUCAAAUUAAAUAAAUCUGACUUGUGGUCCGGUUUUAGCCUAUGGCCUAAUUCCAGGAACUUAUUCACUUUCUAUCUUACUCACACUUCUAAUGUAUCUAAUGACCAAUCCAGCCAGAGUCUCUUUUGACCCCAUAUCCUUCCUGGUGUCAAAUCCAAGUCUGAUAUACAUAACACUAGUUCCUAGCUCACCCAGUUCUCCUAUCAAGGUCCCUGAAUGCUCAGACGGUAAGCACUCCCAACAGACUUUCACCUGAUUCAUGGUGUACCGUUUCCUUCCCACCUUACAGUGUGGAUGGUGCAGGAGCAUGUGCCUGGCAUCCCUGCCUUCCCUGAAACCAGUUGCUCAAUUGUUCUGGACAUUUGGUCUCUCACUGAUAGGACCUGCCCAACCCCCCUGCUCCUUACAGUCUCUGGGAAACAGGCAUCUGCCAUUCCCUGAAUGGCCAGUUCUGACAAGAAUGGAACCCGGCUGUAUCGGAAACACAAAAGUGUACAGGACAUGAUUCACACCUUCCAGAAGCUGACAUUCCAGGAAAGACAGGAGGGCAAGCAUAUCUACAGUAAGAGAGCUCUCCAGGCCAGAAAAAGAGGAGCGACGACUCUACAGUCUUCUGUACAAUACUGAGCAGAGGCUUAAAACAUGAAGAUUUUAAUAACUGAGAUAGAAUAGCUGAGGCGUGGGAAGUGUAUAAAAACAUCAAGGGGAGAGUAAAGACAGAACAAAGGGAAGGGAACGUACAAGUCAGCUUAUCCAAAAAAGCAUAUGCUGUCAUGGGUCAUUAAAACAAGGGAACAUAAAAACAAACCUACAGAGAUAGGUCAAGAUGUAUAGACAGGUCAGCAUAUGUAGACAGGUCAGUAUAGACAAGUCAGUAUAUGUACACAGGUCAGUAUAGAUAAGUAAGUAUAUGUAGACAGGUCAGUAUAUAUACACAGGUCAGUAUAUGUAGACAGGUCAGUGUAUGUAGACAGGUCAGUGUAUGUAGACAGGUCAGUGUAUGUAGACAGGUCAGUGUAUGUAGACAGGUCAGUGUAUGUAGACAGGUCAGUGUAUAUAGACAGGUCAGUGUAUGUAGAAAUGGACUCCUCAUUGAAAAUAAGUGAGCCAGGCACUCCUAUACAUGCUAAUGGUUAAUUUACUUCUAUACAUGAAGCUGAAGUACAAAAAGCAGAAGGCUGGAAAUCUGCUUCCACCUGGAACAUAAGUCUUACAGAUUCACUGUGUAGUCUAAAUAUGGCAGCCAGAGCCCAAGCAAAGCACCUCACGAGUUUUGGCAAAUACGCUUAGCGUUGGCAGGAGGAGCAGGCUGUUUAGCCAUCGUCCUUGCAUAAACAACCCACAAACCAGACAUUACCUAGCAGCUCUUUUUAUCUAUAACCAAUAAACAUGCACAGGUAAAUCGUAAUGUUUUGUCUCCUUAAUUCCAACCUAGAGGAAUGCUAGUCACCUAGGACACACACUGCAUGCCUCCAGUUUUAUGAUUCAGAAUAAUCUGCACGACUGAACAGCACGGGAAGUUACUCACCUGUCUGCCUUUCUCCUAUCUCUCCCUUUCAAUGGAAUCUUUUUUCUUCCUGGUUUACAACAAUGGUUCUAUUUCUGUACCGAUACCUCCCAAAUGCCACUGUGGCAUGGGAUUUUCUUCCUCACUCCUAUUGUGGCCCUUUCCCUAGAUGUCACCAGUUCUGUCCACUUCAGCUACAAUCCAACCAGCUCUAAACUUCUCUGAGAAUGGAAGACUAAAGAAGCAGAGGAGAAAAAUGGAGGAAAACUUAGAAACAAAGGCCAUCUGACUUACAGGGCCAUCUGACAGGGACCAGGAGGCUCCAGAGAUCACAUGCUCUGUCCCUGGCCAAGAGGACUCCAGAAGAAUUCACCCUGAUUUGAAACUGGCAUUAGCAGCAAACUGCGUACGGCCAACUAUUUCAUCUUUCAAACAUUUUCAAAAUACAUGUGCAAAACAGCCCGCAACGUUUUCAAGGCAGAAAGUGUGGAACUUCCACUGACCUCGUGGAGAAUCCUAGAAUGAGGCCCUGCCCACUGGAAGACCAUGUUCUAGGAAGCUGAUGUGUUACCACUCAGUAACUUUAUCAGUCCUCCAUCUUUCUCACCCUCUUCUUCACCCAUACCUGAGUCAGUACCUACAGAAGCUCUCCCCAGGGCAGACGAGGAACUGGGCUCCAUGACUACGCAGUUAGCUUGUAUUGUCCAACCCUGCAUUAGGGGUAUGACACAGUAAUGAACCUGUACUUAGUCCUCUCUCUGAUAGAGCAUCAAGCAAAGGGGAAGGGGAAACAGUCAUAAACAAAAAGGAGCUACAGUGUUCAUAAUGUAUUCAUUUAAAACAGAAAUCACUGGCAACAGCUUUCAAAUGACCACAUUGGCGUCCUUA
rnacentral:sRNA from 1 species